rnacentral:rRNA from 1 species
UACGUAGGGACCAAGCGUUGUUCGGAUUUACUGGGCGUAAAGGGCGCGUAGGCGGCUUGCCAAGUCACUUGUGAAAUCUCUGGGCUUAACCCAGAACGGCCAAGUGAAACUGGCAUGCUAGAGUGCAGAAGGGGCAAUCGGAAUUCUUGGUGUAGCGGUGAAAUGCGUAGAUAUCAGGAGGAACACCUGAGGUGAAGACGGGUUGCUGGGCUGACACUGACGCUGAGGCGCGAAAGCUAGGGUAGCAAACGGG